GGUAUUCCCCUAGUAACGGCGAGUGAAGCGGGAUGAGCUCAAGCUUAAAAUCUCUGUGCCAGUUUGGCAUGGCGAAUUGUAGUCUAUAGAGGCGUUGUCAGUGCAGCUGUGCGGGGUAAGUUCCUUGGAAGAGGACAGCAUCGAGGGUGAUACUCCCGUUUGUACCUGUGCGGCUUGCGCGUACGACACGUUUUCUUCGAGUCGCGUUGUUUGGGACUGCAGCGCAAAGUAGGUGGUAAAUUCCAUCUAAAGCUAAAUAUUGGUGCGAGACCGAUAGCGAACAAGUACCGUGAGGGAAAGAUGAAAAGAACUUUGAAAAGAGAGUUAAAGAGUACCUGAAACUGCUGAAAGGGAAGCGAAUCGUAUCCAGUGUCUAUAAUCUGCGGCAUAUUUCAUUGGCGGCGGUGCGCGUGCUUUUGCGUCGGAAGCGGCUUUUGUUGCUCUGUGCUUUUGCUGUGCGUGUUGUUGCUGGUGCCCUGUGUUGCGGUGGGACGUCAGAGUCAGUUUGUAUGCUGCGGGAAAUGGCUGCCGAGGAGGUAGGUCGAGAUUUCGGUCUUGGCUGUUAUAUCUUGGUGGUUUGUUGUCGUGGUUGAGACUGAGGUGCCUACAAUGUGCUUUUGAGUGUGCCGGGUUCUCAUUUGGUGGACUGUUUGGAUAGCUUGCUAUGCUUGUGGUUUUUUCAUCGGGUGAUUGAGUCUGGUGGUAACUUAUUGCCGUUCGGGACUUUGACGAAAUGGAGCGAUUCGGC
rnacentral:rRNA from 1 species